rnacentral:lncRNA from 1 species
AUUUUUAGGUAUUUUCACUGCAUACAGUAGAUCGCAGUGUGUAUUGAAGAUUAUGACCCAGUCGACUGGAUGAGUACAUUACAUAAGGCUGUGAAAGGGAAUACCAGCAAGAAUUUUGAGAGAAAAGGAACAUAUUACUAUCAGAUGUGAGUGUUCAGAAGAUGCCUAAGAAAUGUGUAAAAAUGAAAAUAAAUCUAAAUAACCCUAUUUACGUUUUACUUACUCUGCUGUUGUUCCGUGCACAGGCAGAACAGUAUGUAACCCUUCCUCUCUCCACCAUAAUCUUCUCCAUGUGAAAAAUGAUGAAUCUGUAGAGAUGAGGUUCUCCUUGUGAGUAAGACUUCCAGUUUGCCAGGGCCCUUGGUCACGCAGAGGGGCUAGUCUCUUAUCUGCAGACAACCCAGAGAGGAGAAGGGCUAAUAUUAGACACUGUCCUGCUCAAAUAUUGGACAAAAAUCUCCCUAAUAUCUCUGCUGGAUGCUUCAUCGUCUCCCAUCAUUGUCAGUGCUUCCAUGAUCACGAGUCUAACCAAAUAUUCCAGAAUAUGUCAUCUCAGAGCCAUCUUGGGGAAUAUUACAACUGGGUGGAUGGCUGUGAAUUUAUAAAGCCUGCAGACCAGAGCAUGUGCUGGCACUAAGGAGAGACUUCACUACAACAAGAAAUGCUCCUCAUACUGCACAUCCUAAGGAGAGCUUCUGAUCAUGCCAUUCCAAAUCAGACUGUGAUCAAGCAGAAGACAACUGGCCAAAUCAGCUGGGGCAGGAAGCAUCCAAAACAUGUGGUCAAUCUUCCAUCUACAACGGGUAGCUUGAAGGACCAAUUACUAUGGAUGUUUGCCACUGAAAAUACGUCAUUAUGAACCAUCUGUGCAUCGUCUUCAAGAUGAUCCUCCAUCCUGUCAACUAGAACUAAUAAAAAUCCAAUAUUCUCUCA